rnacentral:tRNA from 1 species
UAAGGUUUUAAGUUAAAUAAACUAAUAGCCUUCAAAGCUUUAAUUAUUAGAAGUAUCUUUUAAACCUU